rnacentral:rRNA from 1 species
GACGAACGCUGGCGGCGUGCUUAACACAUGCAAGUCGAACGGAAAGGCCCUGCUUUUGUGGGGUGCUCGAGUGGCGAACGGGUGAGUAACACGUGAGUAACCUGCCCUUGACUUUGGGAUAACUUCAGGAAACUGGGGCUAAUACCGGAUAGGAGCUCCUGCUGCAUGGUGGGGGUUGGAAAGUUUCGGCGGUUGGGGAUGGACUCGCGGCUUAUCAGCUUGUUGGUGGGGUAGUGGCUUACCAAGGCUUUGACGGGUAACCGGCCUGAGAGGGUGACCGGCCACAUUGGGACUAAGAUACGGCCCAGACGCCUACGGGAGGCAGCAGUGGGGAAUAUUGCAAAAUGGGCGGAAGCCUGAUGCAGCAACGCCGCGUGCGGGAUGACGGCCUUCGGGUUGUAAACCGCUUUCGCCUGUGACGAAGCGUGAGUGACGGUAAUGGGUAAAGAAGCACCGGCUAACUACGUG